rnacentral:rRNA from 1 species
UGGGCGGGACGGGUGAGUAAUGUCUGGGAAACUGCCUGAUGGAGGGGGGUAACUACUGGAAACGGUAGCUAAUACCGCAUAACGUCGCAAGACCAAAGAGGGGACCGUUCGGGCCUCUUGCCAUCGGAUGUGCCCAGAUGGGAUUAGCUAGUAGGUGGGGUAACGGCUCACCUAGGCGACGAUCCCUAGCUGGUCUGAGAGGAUGACCAGCCACACUGGAACUGAGACACGGUCCAG